rnacentral:rRNA from 1 species
UUCCCACGGGGCGCAGCAGUGAGGAGUAUUGGUCAAUAGGCUUACGCCUGAACCAGCCAAGUCGCGUGAGGGAAGACUGCCCUAUGGGUUGUAAACCUCUUUUGUCAGGGAGCAAUUGGCGCUACGUGUAGCGUUAUCGAGAGUACCUGAAGAAAAAGCAUCGGCUAACUCCGUGCCAGCAGCCGCGGUAAUACGGAGGAUGCGAGCGUUAUCCGGAUUUAUUGGGUUUAAAGGGUGCGCAGGCGGUCUGUUAAGUCAGCGGUCAAAGCCCGGGGCUCAACCCCGGCCCGCCGGUGGAACUGGCA